UCACAUUUUCAUAAUUGAGCAAAUAAUAACGAAAUGGCAUGCAGCACAAAUUUCGUCAUCAAAACUGGUUUCAAAACAUUACUUUUC